rnacentral:tRNA from 1 species
GGCCCCGUAGCUCAGCGGUUAGAGCCGGGGACUCAUAAUCCCUUGGUCGCAGGUUCGAGUCCUGCCGGGGCCA